ensembl:lncRNA
CUCGCAUCAGAAUAUCACAACAAUUUGUGGAACACUAACCACCACUUUAUAAUCUUUGAUGAAACUCGUCUACAUAAAGCGCGUCCCUUCUCCAUCUUUGACCUCGAUCACUGGGUCGCUGCACGGUGUUUUCGAUUUCUGCCCUCAUCAAGAGGAUACGGUCCAUACGGUCCAUAUGGUCAAGGUUAUGGACAGGGUGGACAGGUGUACCCUGCUACUGGGGGGCUGGGACCCGGUGGAGCAGGAGGUUACGGCAAUCUGGGAGCUGCUGGGGGAUAUCCACAAGGUGCUGUUGCUCCGGGUUAUGGUGGUGGAUACCCACAGCAGGCUGGAGGUGGAUAUGUCCCUGCCCCUCUGACUCCUCAACAAGCCAAAGCAGCAAAGUAUGGAGCGUUGGGGGGAUUCCUUAAGGGUGCAGGAGGAGGAGCCUACCGGGGUUGCCAGGGGAAGUUUUGUGGCAGGAGGAAGUAACGGAUCUCUGGGCUAUGCUGUGACCUCAAGAAACCAUGGUGCUACUGCAUGAUGUCGAAUGUACAUUUUGUAUGCAAACACAUCCCCCGAUUAGAGAGCAUGUAGGGAUGGUUGAUUCUUACUUUGUCCUACAGACCCACCGACUCAGAAUUUUGUAAAACUUAUCUUUGAUGAAGCUAGUUGAACUGAUGAAUGAUAUGAUAACAUGUCCGUUUAUCAUAUGAUGACAUGACAUUUCUUUUGUUUUGUUUGUUGUACCGCUUAUAGGGUCAGAUGAAGAAAGUGUUUUUGAACAGACAACCCGCCCUCAUUGCUACUAGGUUAACUAAUAUUUGUGUAAAGGACAACAUGCCAGUUUCUCAAAAUGAGAAACUGGUGGCCCUCAAAUAAAAUAAAAAAGUCCAACAAAAUAAAUAAAAACUAGAAUAUAGAAAUAGUUAUAUGUUUUAAAUUCGAGAGAAACAGUGUUUUUGCAGAAGUCUGUGUUUAUGCCCCUUCAACCUAGCCUGGUGAAAUAUCACUUGUGUAGAGGACAAAGGGAUUGACGCGUGCGUGCUAACACAACCGUACAAUACCAUCUUGUAAUCGAUUGUGCACACUGUAGGCAUUUGGUCCUCCAUCCUUGGAUGUGUUAGGGUUCUCAAACCACCACCCUGCAUAUCCUAUGGAGGUGGAGGUGAGAGGUAGAAGGCAUGUCCCUGGUGCUGACGCAUACUUCUUCAUGGUGCAUGUUCUCUGUUCAUGUUAAGCUUGUGACUGUAAAGAGCAGCCAGUUUGCCAGGUUGUUAUGACCUGCUCUCCUCAACAAUGGUCAUUCUAUGCAGUUAAGCAGCCCUGAUGUCUCCUUAUUUCUACCAUGACCAAAAGUGUAAAUGAAUGAAGGACCGUUUUCUGCUCUGGAUUAUUGUAUGCCAAAAGGUGUUUCAUGUCCUUAAAAAAAAAAACGUUAGGAUACUGCUCUGGUAUGUACAUUGUUGCAGGACAAUGACUUGAGUGUUGAGUGUGGUAUGGUGCUUUAUUCACCCUCAAGUGUAGUCUCACUUAUUAAGGCUUUCUGUAUUUACAUUUAGGCAACUUGUCAUUAUUCAAGAUUCUGUUUUCACCCGACCUUAUUUUCCUCAUAAUUUUGUCAUUAGCAGGUAUGUCUGAACAAGAAGUGAGAAAAUAUGUUUUAAACUUUGCUUCAGCAUUUAUUCACUGUUGAGAAUUAUACUGACUAAGAGCUUUGUUUAAAGAGGGAGACUACCUAUGUGUUUAUGCCCUGUCUAAGUGGGACUUUACCGACUUGAGUUACAUUAAAGGAAGUCUCACGCGUGAUCAGCUCAACUAAUAAUAGACUCCCUCUUUAUAUAUGUGUGUACUGUAUUUUAUACCAGUUGGACUUAAGCGCACUUGGUUCUAUUUCGUGCUUCUGUAAGAACUAUAUUUGAGCCUUGCUAGGUCCGACCUUGUCUUCUGUGCCGUGAGAUACUAUGUUCAUCUUAAUUUAAAAAAAGAAAUUAAAAGGAGAACCAUGGGGAUUUUGCACUUUUUUGUAUUUCUACGACACACUAUGACAUGCGCCAGACAUCCUGGCAUUUUAUUUGCUUCAUAAGAUAACAAAAUAAAAUGUGUUUAAAAAAUCAA